ensembl:lncRNA
GCUGGGUGUAGGGUUGGAGAGGCAAUGACAUGCACAUCCAGGGAUCUGCAUGUGAAGAUGACCGAUGCCACGGCUUUCGUGUCUGUGUGGCACAGCAAACAUUGUCCCAGCACGUCACAAACACCCUCCUCGGCAGACGUCGGCUAAUGGCCACGGCUGUUCUAUUGGGUCAUUGAGAAUUUUAAUGUGUCUGUGGAGGACUCUGUUUUUCUCCAUGAGAGGUGUAACCAAGACUUCUUAGAGGGAGAGCUAGAGACAAAAAAAAUACAUAAAUUGAUACAAGGAUAUAAACACGUGUGAAGGAACAGAAGAGGCUGGAUGAAAACACUUGUUAAGAGAGAAGACAACAGUCGCCCGGCGCCAACCGCUCCACUCCUCAGCUCAAAGCCUUGAUUACAGAAGAGCACUACAGAAGUGUGGAUCAGCGUUCUUUAAGGCUCCCUAAUCACUGCGAGAGAGGGACUAAGAGAUGAAGAGUAGAACCCGGGAAGGACAGCGGAGUCGACAUCAAAAAUGAGCAGCCUGACAAAGACGGGAAGAAGGACUGAGAAAAUCGGAGACAACGGACAAGAAGAAACAGGGGGAAGAUUGAAAAGAUUGGCAGGAGAGUAUAGACCCGGAAGAUGACAUCACCGGCAGUGACAAGCAGUACCCUCCCAUGUCACCAUCUGGCCCGGAGCGGAGGGAGGGCACAGCAGUAUCCCUCACGACCCAGGAUCGUCCACACGGCGGCGGGCACACACAGGCCCUGCCACCCACCCAUGCCUUCUGCUGCCAGGACUCUGGUCAUAACUACUGCACUGGAGAGAGAGGGAAUAGGCUGCCAUUUGGGACAAAGAGCAGUUCCCAACUUACACAGCAUAACUCCUGAGGGCACCCUGGAGUCCCCCAC